CGAGGCUAAAGCCUGCAACCGUAGACUGUAAAACUCGACUGGACAGUCACAAGCUGAAAUCUGCUCUCUCUUGUACCUAAUAAAACUCUAGCACUUAAUUAAACUAUGGGAAAUGCUAUUCCAUCGCUCCUUGAAGGUAUUAACAUACACAGCGAUGGAUUAAAGAUGGCAGUCACCAUACACAGCGAAGCCUUAAACUCGACAGCAAAAACAGUAGGGAAUGGACUGUGGAUGGUUGGAUUUGGGGUGGGCAUGGGCCUAUUCUGCAUAUCAGUGGGAAUGGUGGUGGGACCCAGGAUAAGAAGUGGGCACCACGACCAGUGAGUAUGCAAAGAGACGACACUCAAACCAUUGAUGUUUUUAAUUAAACUAUAGUAUAGGUUGUACAUAGGAUUGACAGUGCAGUUGUGUGUGUUUUCAAUUAUUGCUACACAUUAAUUUUUGAUAAUAAAUAUAUAGCCACUGAAUAUUAAUUUUUAUGC